UAUAAUUUAGUAGUGUUCGUUUACAGUACGCAUCAGACUGGUCCCCUGCGCACUUCUUGGAUGGGAACUAAAUGGGACAGGGAACCAGAUUACUGUACGCAUGCGCUGUCAAAUUGAAGAAAAUCAGAAUGGCGGAAAAUAGCCCCGGAUAAUAUUUUCUCAAAAUUUGAAGAAAUUGCGAUUUGUCCUUGAGGACAGGAUGCAGAAAAUGGCGAUUACUUUCCACUGGAGUCAACAUCUUAUAAUAACUGCAUUUUCAGAUUUUGAAAUAAAAAUAAAGAUUGAGAUGAUAUAUAAACAUUAAAAAAAGUCUGUAAA